UUUCACAUAACAUUUAAGACAUUUAAGAACUUAUGUCUGUCUGUGUCAUCCCUUUAUGUCAAAAGAUGUCUUUUUGUCACUUCCAGCUGGAUCUACCAUGAAAGACUUCUGAAUCCAGGAAGAGAGACUGACUGGGCAACAUGUUAUUCAGGGUCUCCCUCUGUUGUCCAAGGCUGGAGUGUAGUAGUGCUAUCGCAGCUGACUGCAGCCUCAACCUUCCAGGCUGAAGCGAUCCUCCCACCUCAACCUCCCACGUGGCUGAGACUACAGGUGCUUGCCACUAUGCCCAACUAAUAUUUGGAAUUUUCGUAUACGUGGAUUCCAGAGGGGUGACAGCGAAACGUGAGUAAGCAUGGAUUUUGGUAUAUGCAGAGAUGGGGGGCUGGAACUAAUUCUGUAUACUGAGGGACGGCAACUGUGUAUGUUUUUACAAUUACGCUGUAGGAUACAUACUGUUGCAUAGCCUUGAAAAUAAUAAUUUUUAAUUGAGUGGAAUAAUAAUAAUAUUGAUAAAAGUAGCAGCUGGCCAGGUGUGG
rnacentral:lncRNA from 1 species